GGGGAGCUCAGGUGCAUGCAAAGAACCUGAGUGACCAGAAUAGAUGGAGCCAGGAUCCACCCCUUCCUAGACCUCAUUUAAGAAUUGGCAGUGGAGAUAGGGGUGUUUUGCUGGAGGUUCCUCUCUCUUGUACUGGUGGCCUUCUAGAGGUGCAGAGAAAGAGAGGAUCUGAAGAUUCCUCAACCAAAAAAAAACGAAUGUGAGCCAAUCAGCCAGCCUACAAAAUUUGCUGAUGCACUCUUGGCAGAUCAACCAUGGGCAGAGAUUGAAGGAACAAGUAGGUGCUUCAGGAUGAAUUGGAAGUGUAAGGUGUUUAUCAACUGAAACAAAUGGG
ensembl:lncRNA